AAAAUUAACAUAAUUAAUGGAGCAUGAAAAUUAACUUAAUUCACGAAAUCAUAAUAAACACAACAACCAAGAUUCUACCCAUAUGAACAUUCAUUCCUAGAGAUGAAUAAUUCUCACACAUAUGCCUUAUAAUUCCAAAAGCUAAGCUUUCCUAGCUCCAAUCUUCCUCUCUACUUUGAUUCUCCUAAGCUUUCAUUCUUUUCUCCCCUUAGCUCUUCUUUCUUCUCUUCCUUUAUAUAUUCUCU
rnacentral:lncRNA from 1 species